UAGUCAUUAGCGAUUGUCCAAGUUUGGUUUCUUUGUCACAUAAUAUAAAAUUCUUGACUGCAUUAGAGGUGUUGGUAAUUGACAAUUGUCAAAAACUUGAAUCCAUGGAUGGGGAAGCAGAAGGGCAAGAAGACAUUCAAAGCUUUGGGAGCCUACAAAUUUUGUUCUUUGGUGAUUUACCACAAUUGGAGGCUUUACCGAGGUGGCUUCUUCAUGGGCCAACUUCUAACACUUUACAUCAAUUACAUAUUUCAAAUUGCCCAAGCUUGAGAGCAUUGCCAGAAAGUGGGUUGCAAAAGCUCGUAUACCUUCAAAAACUUGAGAUUGAAGAUUGUCCUGAAUUGAUUGGAAGAUGCAAAACUGAAACGGGGGAAGAUUGGCAAAAAAUCGCUCAUAUACCUAAAAUAUAUCUUGAUGGAGAAAAGAUUGCAUCGUUAACCAAUAAUUAGGUAAGGGAGAACUCUUAAAUUCUAGUUUAUUUUCUUAUUAAUUUCACACGGCACUUUGUUACCCUCAUUUAUCUAGUUCUGAUUUUUAAUUUUAUUCUUUUAGUAUGAAGUGUAAUCCUCAAUGCGUCAUUUGGUUUAAUUGGUUUUUUAGACAAAAUUUCUAUUAUGAUUUUUUAUAACAUUUAUAAAUCAAAGUUUAUUAUUUCUUUAGUAUAUAUAAUCUUAAGAAAGAAGGGAAAAAAAAAAUGAAGCACAGGCAACCAAAUAAACUUUGAUGGGUAUUUCCAUAUAGAGAGAGAGAUAUAUAAAUGUUGGAAAUAUUGUUACCACAUUUGUCAUUUCUUGUAUCUAAUCAAAUGUGGCUCUUCUGCUUUGAUUGGAUGAUGCGGUUGGAAGUUGGAAAUAUUGUUACUAGAGUCAGACUAGUCAUUUCUUUUAAGUAUCUAUUCAUCUCGUUGCCUUUUCUAUUGAGAAUGUUUAAUUUGUCGAUUUUCCAUGAUAUUAUGUUUGAAUCUGUUGUUGAUAUUGAGAUAUUGGCAAUUAAUGAAAGGUAGCAUAUGUUAAGGAUAAUAAUUUAUGCUCUGAAGAUGACCUCUCCCGGUUGCCCAUUCUUUAAUAGUGACAGAGGCCAUGCAUUCUCUUCUUCUAGUUGUCAAUUUCUUUCCAUAAAAUUUUAAUGAUAUUGGUCUUUCUAUCUUGUUGUUGGAAAAUAAAAAUACAAACAGGCGGACUGGGUAAGAAAUGGAGAGUUGACCUGGAAAUGGAGGACUAAUCAAAUAUGGUUCUUCUGCUAUGAUUGGAUGAUGCGGUUGGAAGUUGGAAGUUGGAAGAGAGUUGAUGGAGCUGGAAAUGGAGAACUGAUCAAAGCUAGUGUUUGGGUCCUUGCUUGCUUACCAGUCUUUUUCUUGAUUCUUGACUUGUUGCCUCAGUGCUGAAUUCUGGAGUGGUGUGCUUGUUUAUUAUUUGUCUUAUUUUCACAUAGACUCAUGUGUAAGGUUGUUUUGGUUGUUUGGAGUUUGGAGUGUGAACUUUGAUUUAGUUUACAAUAAAAGAUUGAUGGAUUCAUUUAUCAAUCAAAUAUAUGAAUGAUAAUAUACGAUUCUAAUUUAGUUUACACAUUAUUGGUAAAAUAUAAAUGACAAUACACGAUUUUGAUUUGCCCGUAUUCAUAAUUUCCUCCUCCAACAUUCUCUAUAUAUAUCAUGCAUGGACGCACAUAUAUAUGAAUACGAGAUUCUCCGCAUGUAUUCCGUGUCCUAAAAUCAAGGACUUUUUUGGCCAACAUAGGAGAGAAUUGAACUGGAACUGGAGUGACUAAUCAAGGCUACCGUUUGGAAUCAAAGCCACAACCUUGGUUUGGGAACACAGAGACUGAAUUAUCUAUCCUACUAUACUUUGAUGCCCUGCUUGGUUGCAAAAAUUUGCCUCUUUGACCUGGAGGAUGUUUCUUACAUACAUUUGAUUUUUUUUUCCUUUUUCUUUUUCUCUGCUCUAACCAAUAAAUUGGAACUUAGGAAAAAAAAUAUAUCUUCCUUCAAUCCAAGUCUCGAUUUCUGGCCAUGUUAAGAUUUUUUUGUCGAGCAACAUCCAAUCUUUGAAAGCAUGGUCUUCUUUUGAUUCUAAGCCCCUCAUAAUAUAAUUUUUUUUCUAAUUAAUGUGUUUAAAAAUGUUAAAGAGAAUGAUUUGUAAGAUAAUCUUAUUCAUUUUGGUAGCUAUUUUGAAAAACAUGUAAAAUAUUUUUUUCAAAAAUAAUUUUAUAAAAUUAGAGAUCAUAAAAUAAAAGAAAUUAAAAAAAUAAAUAUUUUUUUAAAUAAUUGGUUAAAAAAGAUGAAAUACUUUUCAUAUUUGUGAAUUUAUUAUUUUCUAUAUUUUUAUUUGAAGAGUAACUUAUUUUUUACAUAAAUAUCCUUUUUUAUUUCAAGUAUUUAUAAUAUAUUUUAAAAGAAAUAAUUAUUUUUACACGAAAACAAUAAAGGUAUUUUUAUCAAAAUUAGGCCAAAAAAAUUAUUAAGGGUUAUAUUUUCAAAAUUAGGUUUCCAAUAACCAAUAACCUUUUAAUUAAAUAAUCCAUAAUUUUCCCGAGAUGGUAUAUGACUUUAUUAGAGAUAGAAUUUCUUAUAUUAAGAAGAAAAUUUCAAAGUUUAAAAUUACAUUCGGGUGAGUAUCUACAAUUAAGAUAUAAAAUGCAAAUUUCUAAAAUGAUGUAAUGAGAACCAUUAUAUAAUAUCAUAGCUUUUCUAUUUUUACCCCUUAAAUUUGUAAGAAAAAAUUAUUUAUUUUGAGAAGUUGAUUUAUAAAACAAUUUCAGGUCUCAUGAUAAAAGUUUAUUCUUUCACAUUCUGUUUUACAAAGGCAAGUCCCAAAUACAAUCAAUAAAAUAUAAAUUAUAAAAAUAUGAUGUUGGGGUCAAUUGGAAUUUCAACUAAAUGACAAAUUUUUAGUACAAUUUGGAAAAAAAAAUGUUUUAUUCUAUAAAAGGAAUUGAAAAAAAAUUCAAACUUCUCAUAAGUGAAUGGAUUUAAUUUUAUGUUUUAAGAAAGAAAAAUCAUAAAUUGAAACUUAAUUAUUAAUGUUCCCCUUGUUUUAAUGAUUGAAAAAGUAACUUAUAAUCUCUAGAAGAAUUAUAAUAAAUUUAGUAAUAAUUUAUUAAAUAAUAUUUAUAAAAAUUGUAUUUAUUUAUAAUUAAAUUAAGACCUCUUAAGAUUUAGUGUAAAUACACUAAAAUAUCAAAAGUAUUAAAUUUUAUCAUUUAGGAUUCCUAUAAAUGUAUUUCAUAUAUAAAUUUUAUAUUUUAAAUAAUAAAAUUUAAUUUUUAGAGGACCGUUAAAUACUACUUUCCAAAAUAUUUUUACUUAAAAUCUCUCUGAAAAAGGUAAAUUUGGUAAAUAAAAUAAAUUUAUUAAAGUAUUAAUUGAUGAAAUUUAAAACCGAUCAUGAUUGAGACAAAACCGUAGGCUUGAGUGAAAUUAACCCUUAAACAAACCAAAAAAAAAAAAGUCUCUCCUCUUGUGAGCAUCAAUGAGUAUGGUCCAAGUGAGUCAAGUGACUUCCUUGGACAAUAAAAAAGUUUCCAAUGCUUUACACACGUCCCUUUAUUACUGGAUGAAUUGAUUAUAGGGACAGAAGCGUCAUUACAAUGUGUUAACAUUGACCCGAGCAUCGACUUUGCCAAGAAUCAUUUCAGAUCUCGGAUCUCUGAUUCUCAAUUUACCUUUCCCAUUCCCAAACAACCACCAUCGCCCAUCGCUAGCUCUUCAAUUCCCUGCUUCUCUGCAACAUGGUUGAAUCAUUUGCCUUUGCCAUAGCUGACAGAGUUUUGGGGAAGUUGGGCUCUGCCCUCAUCCAAGAAGUUGGCCUUGCCUGGGGUGUUAAAACCGAGCUGGAAGAGCUCAACGAUACUUUAUCCACCAUCCGAGCGGUGCUCUUAGAUGCUGAGGAGAAGCAAGCCACCAGCCAUCAGCUGAGAGAUUGGCUGGGAAAGCUCAAAGUUGGCUUUUAUGAUGCUGAAGAUAUUGUCGAUGAAUUUGAAUAUGAGGCCUUACGCCAGAAAGUGGUGGCUAGUGGGAGUUUUAAAACCAAGGUAUGCAGUUUCUUUUCAAGUCCAAAGUCACUUGCAUUCAAUCUUAAGAUGGGUCAUAGGGUGAAGAAGAUAAGAGGGAGAUUGGAUAAAAUUGCAGCUGAUAAGUCAAAAUUUAAUCUCAUCGAGGCUGUUGCAAACACGCCUGUUGUGCUAAGCAAGAGGGAGAUGACCCACUCCUUUGUCCGAGCUUCCGAUGUUAUCGGGAGAGACGAUGAUAAAGAAAAUAUUGUUGGGCUUUUGAUGCAACCUAGCGUUACUGAGAAUGUUUCUGUAAUUCCCAUAGUUGGGAUUGGGGGGCUAGGCAAGACAACUCUGGCUAAACUUGUGUAUAAUGACGAGAGCGUAGUGGGGCAAUUCUCCACUAAAAUGUGGGUUUGUGUGUCAGAUGAGUUUGAUAUUGAAAAGCUUAUAAAGAAAAUCCUUAAGGAGAUCAGGAAAGGUGAUGAAAGUUACAGUGACUCCUCCAUGGAGCAGUUGCAGAGUCAUCUUAGAAAUGCAUUAGAUGGUGAAAAAUUCUUGCUGGUUUUGGAUGAUGUGUGGAAUACGGAUCGUGAGAAGUGGCUUAAGCUGAAAGACUUGCUCGUGGACGGUGCCAGUGGAAGCAAAAUUCUUGUAACUACACGCAAGAAGUCAACUGCUUCAAUCAUGGGCACUUUUCCCAUGCAAGAAAUAAAGGGUCUUUCUCAUGACGAUUGUUUAUCUUUAUUUGUGAAAUGCGCAUUUAGGGACGGAGAAGAUAAACAAUAUCCAACCCUUUUAAAAAUUGGGGACCAAAUUGUUGAGAAAUGUGCAGGGGUUCCUCUGGCUGUGAGAAGUUUAGGGAGUUUGCUGUAUUCGAAAAGGGGUGAACGGGAUUGGGUAUCCAUUAGAGAUAGCAAAAUAUGGGAAUUAGAACAAAAUGAAGAUGGUAUUAAUGAAGAUGGUAUUAUGGCUGCGUUAAGACUGAGCUAUUAUGAUUUGCCUUAUCACUUGAAACAAUGCUUUGCUCUUUGUUCCCUAUUUCCCAAAGAUUAUGAAUUUAGUAAUGUUGUUUUGAUCUCAACUUGGAUGGCAGAAGGCCUCAUUCAUUCAUCGGGACAAAAUGCCAAAAUGGAGGAUAUUGGUGAGAGAUAUAUUAAUGAGCUAUUAUCGAGAUCUUUCUUUCAAGAUGUUGAGCAGCUGAUACUAGGAGUACUAUAUACAUUCAAAAUGCACGAUCUUGUACAUGAUCUUGCGAUGUUUUUUGCACAACCUGAGUGUUUAAUACUAAAUUUUCAUAGUAAAGAUAUUCCUAAAAGGGUUCAACACGCCGCAUUUUCUGAUACCGAGUGGCCCAAAGAAGAGUGUAAAGCUUUAAAAUUCUUGGAGAAGUUGAAUAAUGUUCAUACCAUUUAUUUUCAAAUGAAAAAUGUGGCCCCUAGAAGCGAAUCAUUUGUUAAGGCAUGCAUCUUGAGAUUCAAAUGUAUACGGAUAUUGGAUUUACAAGACUCUAACUUUGAAGCAUUGCCUAAAUCUAUUGGUAGUAUGAAGCAUCUAAGAUUUUUGGACUUAAGUGGAAAUAAGAGAAUCAAAAAACUCCCUAAUUCCAUUUGUAAGUUAUACCAUUUGCAAGCUUUGUCACUCUCACGAUGUUCAGAACUUGAAGAAUUACCAAGAGGCAUAUGGAGUAUGAUCAGUUUGAGGACGGUAUCUAUAACAAUGAAACAAAGGGAUUUAUUUGGAAAGGAAAAAGGGUUGAGAAGCUUGAAUUCUCUUCAACGAUUAGAGAUUGUUGAUUGUCUCAAUUUGGAAUUUUUGUCUAAAGGAAUGGAAAGCCUUAUUGAACUUCGAAUGUUAGUCAUUAACGAUUGUCCAAGUUUGGUUUCUUUGUCACAUGGUAUAAAACUCUUGACUGCAUUAGAGGUUUUGGCAAUUGGCAAUUGUCAAAAACUUGAAUCCAUGGAUGGGGAAGCAGAAGGGCAAGAAGACAUUCAAAGCUUUGGGAGCCUACAAAUUUUGUUCUUUGACAAUUUACCACAAUUGGAGGCUUUACCGAGGUGGCUUCUUCAUGAGCCAACUUCUAACACUCUACACCAUUUAAAGAUUUCACAGUGCUCAAACUUGAAAGCAUUGCCAGCGAAUGAUCUACAAAAGCUCGCAUCCCUUAAAAAAUUGGAGAUCGAUGAUUGUCCUGAAUUGAUUAAAAGAUGCAAGCCUAAAACCGGGGAGGAUUGGCAAAAAAUCGCUCAUAUACCUGAAAUAUAUUUUGAUGGACGGGAAAUUGCAUCAUCAACCAAAUAAUUAGGUAUGAGAGAAUAUCUAUUUUAGUCUAUUUUCUUAUUGAUUAUUUGUCAUUUUAUGAGCCUCAUUUGUCUAGUUUUUGCUCUUACUUUUAUUCUUUUAGUUCAAAG
rnacentral:lncRNA from 1 species